GGGGGUACAGAUCAAUCUAACUCUCGGCCACCAAUGCUCAACCAGACAUGUCAGCCGACGAUCUCAAUAACCAACAAACUUGUGACGGCACUUGUAACAUCUGCAUUCCUAGAUAAGGAUUGUCGGGACGGCCAUGGCUCGAAGAAACGAACCAGCCAGUCUUAGGACAUAAAGGCAAGCAUUCCAUGGCCAAGUUUGAAGGUUAAGAACAUAAGGAAACUUAGACUUAACCUUAUACAAGUCGAGAGUCAGCUAGGACGAGUAAGACGGUAACUGGACGAAGUGAACGGGUAGC
rnacentral:lncRNA from 1 species